GACGAACGCUGGCGGCGUGCCUAAUACAUGCAAGUAGAACGCUGAAGGAGGAGCUUGCUUCUCUGGAUGAGUUGCGAACGGGUGAGUAACGCGCAGGUAACCUGCCUGGUAGCGGGGGAUAACUAUUGGAAACGAUAGCUAAUACCGCAUAAGAGUAGAUGUUGCAUGACAUUUGCUUAAAAGGUGCAAUUGCAUCACUACCAGAUGGACCUGCGUUGUAUUAGCUAGUUGGUGGGGUAACGGCUCACCAAGGCGACGAUACAUAGCCGACCUGAGAGGGUGAUCGGCCACACUGGGACUGAGACACGGCCCAGACUCCUACGGGAGGCAGCAGUAGGGAAUCUUCGGCAAUGGACGGAAGUCUGACCGAGCAACGCCGCGUGAGUGAAGAAGGUUUUCGGAUCGUAAAGCUCUGUUGUAAGAGAAGAACGAGUGUGAGAGUGGAAAGUUCACACUGUGACGGUAUCUUACCAGAAAGGGACGGCUAACUACGUG
rnacentral:rRNA from 1 species